AGAGGUGUUUAAUGAGUGAUGCAGGAUGCACAGCAGUGGUCCAGUCAGUCAGAGGAGCAGGUGAGGAGGAUGGAGAUAGUAGUGUAGAGGAGGUGUGCUGCUGCUGGUGCAUGGUGCUGCUGGUGUGGGAUGGCAUUUGUAAACAUGCUGAUGAGGAAGGAUGUGGUGGCAUUUUAUUUAUGGUGUUUUUAACAUGGACUUUGGUGCAGGUCAGGAGGUGUGGUGGUAUUUUAUGGUGUUUUUAACAUGCAGUUUGGUGCAGGUCAGGAGGUGUGGUGCUAAUGUUAGAUGUGGUAUUUUAUGGUGUUUUUAACAUGUAGUUUGGUGCAGGUUAGGUGGUAUUUUAUGGUGUUUUUAACAUGGAGUUUGGUGCAGGUCAGGUGGUAUUUUAUGGUGUUUAUAACAUGGAGUUUGAUGCAGGUCAGGUGGUAUUUUAUGGUGUUUUUAACAUGUAGUUUGGUGCAGGUUAGGUGGUAUUUUAUGGUGUUUUUAACAUGGAGUUUGAUGCAGGUCAGGUGGUAUUUUAUGGUGUUUAUAACAUGGAGUUUGAUGCAGGUCAGGUGGUAUUUUAUGGUGUUUUUAACAUGUAGUUUGGUGCAGGUCAGGUGGUAUUUUAUGGUGUUUUUAACAUGUAGUUUGGUGCAGGUCAGGUGGUAUUUUAUGGUGUUUUUAACAUGUAGUUUGGUGCAGGUCAGGAGGUAUUUUAUGGUGUUUUUAACAUGGAGUUUGGUGCAGGUCAGGAGGUAUUUUAUGGUGUUUUUAACAUGGAGUUUGGUGCAGGUCAGGAGGUGUGGUGCUAAUGUUAGAUGUGGUAUUUUAUGGUGUUUUUAACAUGGAGUUUGGUGCAGGUCAGGUGGUAUUCUAUGGUGUUUUUAACAUGUAGUUUGGUGCAGGUCAGGAGGUGUGGUGCUAAUGUUA